AGCACGCUCCUUAAAUCCACCUACAGAGCUAUUUUCGAAUAGUUCAGCAACUUUACCGGUUGUUAAUUGUAGGUGCUUGAGUCAUAAGUGUGCCAUAUUAUCCUACUUGCAGCUCUGAACUCCCACGUGAAAUCAUUUCUUCACGCUUAUUCAGUUCUGCGAACAUU
rnacentral:snoRNA from 1 species